CCAGACUCCUACGGGAGGCAGCAGUGGGGAAUAUUGCACAAUGGGGGAAACCCUGAUGCAGCGACGCCGCGUGAGCGAUGAAGUAUUUCGGUAUGUAAAGCUCUAUCAGCAGGGAAGAAAAUGACGGUACCUGACUAAGAAGCCCCGGCUAACUACGUGCCAGCAGCCGCGGUAAUACGUAGGGGGCAAGCGUUAUCCGGAUUUACUGGGUGUAAAGGGAGCGUAGACGGCGGUGCAAGCCAGAUGUGAAAGACCGUGGCUCAACCCCGGGACUGCAUUUGGAACUGUGGUGCUAGAGUGUCGGAGAGGCAGGCGGAAUUCCUAGUGUGGCGGUGAAAUGCGUAGAUAUUAGGAGGAGCACCAGUGGCGAAGGCGGCCUGCUGGGCGAUGACUGACGUUGAGGCUCGAAAGCGUGGGGAGUAAACAGGAUUAGAUACCCGAGUACA
rnacentral:rRNA from 1 species